CUGACAACAAGCCACAGUCACCUCCUGUUUUCCCAGGAGAUCCGCCAAGAACUGCAGUCAGGUCUGACCCAUAUUGCCAUGGAACUUCUGCUUUGCUCUGGGACCCAGUGCACAUGAAAGCCUGUGUGUGCCUUUCAAGAAUGGGGUCUCUGUUUCCCCCAGUCCUGUGGAGCUCCUGCACACCAGCCCCACUGGCCUUCAAUGCCAGAUGUACCGGGGGCUCUUUCUCCCAAUGCCAGAUCCUGAUGUGGGGCUCAGAACUCUCACUCUUGUUGGUGAGUCUCUGUGAUACAGUUACUUUGCAGUCUGUGGGCUUCCCACCAGGAGGUAUAAGAUUGCUUAUAUCACAUAGUCGCCCCUCCUACCUCUUGAUGUGACCUCCUCUUUGUCUUCUGGAGUAGGAUAUCUUUUUGAAAGUUUCCAGUCCGUUUGGUAGAAAGUCGUUCAGCAUUUGGUUGUAAUUUUGUUGUUUUUAUGAGAGAAGGUGAGUUCCAGUCCCUCUAUUCUGCCAACCUUAUUCUGUGUAAAAUAUUUUGAGAAAUUUAAAUACAGAUUUGGCAAUAUCAGCAUUGUACUCAAGGUGAGGCAUGAACUUAUAAGUUAAAAGACAGAGUCCCUAAAGGUCAAUUUAUAAGUUUUUUUUAACCAGAAGGGCAGUGCUGAAAAGUUUUAUUCAUUUUAUUAUAUUCAAAAGGGUAUGAGAGGGAAGAAGAUAAAUCCAUAUUUUGGAGAAUUGGGAAAUAAAAUUUUUCUUAUUUUAAAAUAAUGGUGCUCCCAGAUGUCUAGUGGGCAAAGCAUUGCAAACCAGAUGCCUGUCAUAAAAGAUACCAUGAAAUAUUAAUAUUGAAUAUUAAAAGGUUGACCAAAACCUGUUUAGUUCAAAUGUAGUUGUAAAUUGCCUGGCUGGGCAGUAAUAUGAGAUCUGGCUGAAAUGAAUGGGUUCCCUUUUUGCCUCUGGUGCUUGGUCUAUUUGGGCGAAGAGCUGGGGAACUAUGACCUCUACUCUGGGAUGUUUCUUCCUUUGGGGAAUCUUGGGGUUAGCGUCCAUCCUGGUUUAGAGUGUUUGCAGUGAGCAGUCACAGUUCUGGAAUGUGGAGACAGCAGAAAGAGACACUAGGAGUAUGAAAUAAGGCCUGAAUCCAGGGUGUCCAGAGAAGCUGAUGGCAGAGUGCAUCUCCUGGGGCCCUUGGUGCCCUCGGCCCCUUAGUGCAGAUGCUUAUAGACUUUGUGUGCCUGGGACACAGUAGAUACCCAGUUAAACUUCUAAACACAUACUGAUUUGGAGCUUACUGUAUUUCCUCUCCUAACCCAUUUAAUCCUCAUUGAACUCUCCAAAGUAGCUGCUACUGUCAUCCUCAUUGUACAAAUGACAAACUAAGAUGCAAAGAGGUUGAAUACCUUGUCCAAGUCCCCACAGAUAGUAAGCUGCAUGGCUGGGGUUUGAUUUGAGGGAGCUGAUACCCAAAGCUGCAAUGCGUGUGUAUGUAUUUACUUAAAAUUAAAAAAAAUUUUAUUUUAUAUUGAAGUAGAGUUGAUUUAUACUGUCAUGUUGGAAAGCUGUGAUCUUAAUGACUCCCUGACCACUUCUUAACGUCUGUGGCCUAUUGAAUUGAGUGUCUAGUGUUCUGACAUUUCAGGAUACUGUGUUUGCCUACACUAGGGAUUUUCAAAGCAGAGUUGUUGAAAGCUUUUCUGGAAUCCUUUAUUUUAUUAUCCAUAAUGUUGCUAGAAUUACUAUAUCUUCUUUCAAAAAUAGUAAUACACCUCAAUCCACUGUCUCCUGAACAUUCUAUCCUUGAUUUUUCUUCCUAGCACUUACCAUCAUCUAACUUGAUUGAUUUUUUGCUUUUUCCUGCCUCCCCCUGCUAGAGGGUGGCCUCCCUGAGAGCAGGGGCAUUGUGUACUGCUUAGUCUCCAGCAAGGACCCUGCUUGACACAAAGGAGAUGCUCAAUGCAGAUAAUAUUUGUUUAUUUAAUGGGGAAGAUUAAUGUUGAGUAUGCUGGUGCCUUCAUCCUGGCCAUCUAAAAUCCUUUAAACCUUUCAAAAGGCUCGCCACUCCAUCCCAUCAUUACCAUGUGUGGCGUGAAACAUUCCAGGGGCAUUAGGAGCCUGAAAGUUGGAAUACUAAGGCCAGGCUCUUCCAACUGUCACAUGUGUGGAAAAUUCUUAAAGUUAUUGAGAGAAACUUCUUAGUACUGGCAGGUGGGGGAAGAGAGAGCUCUUAGCACUUUGAAAAUACACUGCAGGUCUCCUAGAAUCCUCUGUUCUCUUAAAAAUCUGUUCUACUCCUUUAUGCAUCAGAAUUUGUCAGGCUUCUGCCAUGCAUGAGGGGCUGGUACCUGUGUUAAGUUUUUGGUGCCCAGAUACCCUUCCCUAACUACUUAGAGUAGAAUACUUGUGCUGGAAAAAACCUUUUCUGUCUUACAUAGGGUUAGAGAGUUGCAGGAACUUGUCAAAAGUGUUAUUACAUUCAGCAUGGGUUUUUAUUGGCCUUCGGUAGUCAGAGUAUUUGGUGAACUAUCAAAUACUCUGAACCUCUUCUAUAGUUUGACUUCAUUUGCAUUCAUUUGUUCUUAAUGAUUAAAAGUAUGGGCUCUCAUGUCCAGAAGAUUUGAUUUGAAUCCAGGUUCUGUCACAUCACUAGCUGGUAUUUGUUUCAUCAUCUCUAAAUUGGUGGUAAUAAUACCACUGUAAAUUGGAACACAUCACACUUCCAUUUUACUGAUUUAAGGGACUGUCCUUGUUCAACUGACAAUGUCUCAAGUAGUAUAGCAAGAUAGAAUUGGAAAUGUUUGGAAAAUAGUGGCUUUGACAAGGUUCCCCCCCCCCCCAGGCAGGUUAAGUCCAGCAGUCAUUAGGUUCCCAAGAUGAUUCUACCCACUGUGUGUGGACUCAAAACUCAUGGUUCAAAAUUGUUGCCAGAGGUCCUACCAUCUCUUCUGCAUUCCAGGUAGCAGGAUGGAGAAAGGGUAGACAAGUAUACCUCCCUCUGGAAGACUUUAAUAAGACUUUCUGAUGUACAUAUACCAAAACUCGGUUACAUUGCUAUAUGUAGUUACAAAGGAACCUGGAGAAUAUGUAACUUUUUUUUUUUUUUUCUUUUCUCCAACAGAUAUCUCUGCAACUACAAUCUGCCAUUCCUCAUGUACCUGUAUCUGUGGGUCUACUUCUUUUGGGAUUACUAGCAGAGUUUUUCUUCUCUGCUUUGUGUAUCUUUACCAUAUAGUUGUUUAUUCAUAGUUUUGGCUUCCUCAUACAUUUAGGUUCCUAAGAUCCUUCAUGGUCAUGAAGUUACUUAAUACCUUUUGUUUGUGUUCUCUCAGCUUCACUUCCUACUCCUAACUGCUUCAUCAUCUCAGUAUUUUUCCACUCAUAUUUUGGAGAGCGAGAAUGAUUGGACUAGCCUAGUCUAGCUCAUCCUGCUGGGCCCCACCUUGGUUGUUGGCCAGCUUGAGGAUGGAUGGCCUGCUAGUUUAAUCAGCCAUGGCUAUCUUGCUUAUGAGCCUUUUAAUCUUCAAGGGUGUGGAGGCAGAGCAGCUUUUAGAAUGUGACCAGCCUGCUUGUUCCCUGAUGAAUGCAACUCCCUUUGGCAGAGAGUUAGAAAUCUUAAAAUGAUAAACCUUGAAGUUAAAAAUCUUAACAUGAAUGAAUUUCAGAUAGUGUGGACAGUCAACAACUAUCCAUAACUGACAUUUGAUUGAUAAGUGAUCCUUUUAAAAGACUAGAAGGGUGUUUGAGGCAUACACGUGUAUCCCUCCAGUGCUUUUACUUCUGUUGUCACUUUCAACUGGAAUGAUCUUUUCUUCUGUUACCCACUUUCUCCUAGCUAACUCCUAACCUUUCCAGACUUUUUGGGAGUUCUUCUCUCUAUGAAGUCUUUGCUGACACUCCUGUAAUGAGGUUGGUGCUUCCCUAAACCCUUUGUGUAUGUCUUUCAUUGUGCUGGGCACUUGAUCUUGCCGUUGUUGUCACAGGUCUGUUAAGUGACUGCUCUCUCUUGAGCUGGAAUACUGUUGCUGUUAGGGUUUGAUCUUAAUUAUUGUCAUAUACCCAAUUCCUCUCUGCCUACCAAUACUGUCACAUUAGUGAUGCUCAGCAAAAUUUUGUUUUCUUGGAUUGAAUUUUUUAAUUUAAUCCCUACUGCCUGGUUAAAAAAAAAAAAAAGCAAAGAAAUAAAUCUUCCAAAGUAAGUAAUAUUAAUUCUUUUAAUCUGGUAAAUUAGAAGAGCAUUGCUUUCCUGCUCCCAGUAGUCUUUAAUCAGAACUUUCAGGAAGAGAGCUAUUCUUUUUCUUCAGUAUUGAGCCAAAAUUCUGCUUUCAUUGGGAUAUUAUAUGUGGCGCUUAGUGCUGUAUUUGCAGAAGAUUGAGUAAAAUUUUGCUGGGAUGAAAUCUGUAGGUUCUGAUAAGGACUGUUUAUGCUUGUGUUCAGUUUUUUCUGCUUAGAUGGCUUUUGAAAUCUUUGUAAUUGAAUUUCACAAUGUGCUGAUAACUUUUUUUAACAGAUGAGGGCAAGGAUUCCUUUUUGGAUUCCUGGUUGAACUCUUAAUGUAUUUCAUCCCUGGUCAGUUGUAGUUAGCUUGGGAAGUAUAGAUGCCCUUGGGAUGAAGGGGGCAUGGUUAGAAUUGCAAACAUUUUAGAAAAUGCUGAAAGACCAAUUUUGCUAGUUCAGCUUCAGAUGUAAAUGUUUCCUUCUAGGCUGAUGUAUCAUUCUGCUUUUCCCUAGUCUGAGGAAGCCAGACUGUAGAUGUUGAGGAGCAAACUCCUCCACAUUUUGUCAACAAGCCUUCAUUCUAUUUUGUAAAUAGAAAUUGAGUUUUUUCUUUUUUAUGUUAUUUUCCUUUUGGAGAAAGUAACCUUUCAAGUGUACCAAGGGAGUUGUUAAAUAAUUCACCGUUAAUGUUUUCAGUGACAACACUAACAAAAGGAGAUGUGGGGUCUGAAAUCGGUGGCAUUCCCACGAGUUUGGUUCUGUGUCUGGAGGAGUGACUGCAGCAUAAUGACAGAUGUAACCUUUACUCAGGGAAGACUCCACCCACUCGGCACUUUGGAGCACCCACGCUCCUUAGAAUGCUCUGAGCCAGUCUUCUCCCCAGUGUCCCAAACCCCACACCUUUGCUUCCAGCCCGUUUGGGAUGCUGUCAAGAGAAAAUGCUAGAUUUUAGGUUUACUUGGAAGUAGAUGAUCCAGGUAUGAUCCUCAUUUCUAGGUGUUUUACUGCUCUCUUUCCCAUCUGGUUGCUCCGACUCUGGCUCUCCAGUUACUCUGAAGUGUUGAUUUGGCUACAUUAACCUUCUAUUUUCAUCACAUGCAAAAUUAUGGCAGAGAAAAUAAGGAAACAAGACUGUUGCCUUACUAUACUGGAACGAGGAAUUGCAUAGCCCAUCAAAAUGUUUUUAAAACAGCUCUUUGAUCAAAAGAAAAUUAAUGUGUCUUGCCAUCCUCAGAUGGAACUGACAGUUGUUACACCUUGAAAUCAUUUUCUUGCCAGACUGUAGUAUUUUCUGUUGUCUUGUUGAAGACCCUUUUUUUUUUUUUUCUCCUUUAUUUUCGUGUUUACCUUUUGAAAUGUCUUGGGGGAAACAACAGUAAACUGUAAGUAAUCAUAUUAAUUUCAAAUUGAGUAUUUUUCUCUUCUGGAUUUAGACACUUGGUUUUCGCUGUAGCUCUGUCAUAACAGGUAGGUUAAAAUCUGUGACUUGGUUUUGACAGGAUUUCUUUUGUGCACUUUUAUGACAUGAGGCAGCAAAGAAGAUGAGAUUAUUUUGCAGGUUAUUGCUUUUGAAACAAUACUCCUGAGUUCUUCCUCAGUGCAGAUUCAUGAAAGCUGAUACAGAGGCUCCUGGGUCAGAGUUGAUCUAAGGUAGAGAUUUGUUUUUCCCUUGAGGAUAAUGACUCGUCUUUCAUUCCAAGCUGUGUGCAAUAUGUCCCCUAGGGUUACCAUUGAAAUAAAAUGAAUUCUUGCCAAUAGAACAUCUUUAUGGGGAAAGAAUAUGAACUAAUCAUUUAAAAUUUAUAACCAGUUCCUCUAGCAUGACCAAAGGAAGUUUGGUUAUGCUUUUAAAUGUGUUUUUAUUCCACUCCCUCUAAUUAGAGUGAGGAGUGCCAUUCCUCACAACUUCACGGUUAGAAUGAAUUUAGAGUUUUUGAGCAAUAGAUGUGCUGUUUGGUCUGAGGUCAGAUGUUCAGGGUUAAGGCAGAAUUUGUAAGGAUUAGAGGUUAGAUAGACAGUAAGGGGAAAUGAGGUUAGUCAGAAAAAAAUUGCACAAGAUAACUUGAGGGUUUUCAGGGUAAUGAUUUUGAUAAUCGCAGUAACAGCAUUUGGACAUUUUGGGAAUGUGAAAAGGAAGAAUUAGAAAGUAGGUUUUUGGUAACUGAAUAAUAAGUACAUCUCUCUCUUUUAAAAGAUCAAGUUCUUAAAAAGAGCUACUCCCUAAAGACAAAUGCUGGGGCUCUUUGUUUUAAGGCACCGGGGCCACCUGCUUGUUCAAAUGGAAGGUUGCUCUGGACGAGUUAGGAUUAGUCAAUUGAGAGAGAUGCAUGAAGGUCUUGAAACAAGUUAGAGGUUUACUUCUGCUGCCUACACACCUUCUGGAGGAAGGAGGUGUGGCAGCUUCACUAUGUUUGAGUCUCAAGGCUCACUCAUCCUCAGAUUCUACUUCUUGUGCCCACCAUUCUUGGGGCACCCUCCCAAUCCAAGGUCAGGCUUGGGGCUAUAUGAAGUCUCAGUUGCAGACUGGAGAAAGAGUUAGGAAAGACAGAGCAAAAAGGGUCUCUCAGAGUCAGUUCCCUUUCUGCAUCCUUCACUUGAUACAUCCACAGAGAACUUGGUCACAUGACGAUCCCUAGUUCCAAGGAAGGCUGGGGAGUAGACUCCUGUUCCAGGUGGCACAAAGUAAGAUAGUGAACUUUUCACUUGGGGAAAAUAACCUUUUCAGCUUAUUGAAAGACUUGUUAAAUACUUUUUUUUUUUUUUUUUUGCCCUGUUUGUAGUAUGCAGAAAUACAGAAGUUCACAGGUUAGGGAUUGAACCUGUGCCACAGCACUGACACGCCUGAUCCUUAACUGCUAGGCCACCAGGGAAUUCCCAUUCAUAUUGUAUGAAAGUAAAAAUUGGGGUAACUUCCAAAGGUAGAAAGGAAAAUAAAUGUUGGGGAAGGUAAUGAUACUCGGUCUUUCAGCUGUGAGACUGUCAGUGACACUGUAGUUUAUUCAAAAUAAACCCAGUAGUGUUAUGACAAUGAUGGUAUCUUAAUAAUAGAAAUGAUCCCAAAUAUUAAAUGAUUAGCCAUUCAUUUGAACAUUGACACCCAUGAGUGUGUGGAACUUUUUGAAAGUUUAGAGUUUAUGCACUUCACCCAACAAAUUAUCUUACGUGUUUGAUUUUUCCUUUGUUGCAGUUUUCAUUUUGAAUAUCCAUGGAACAUAGCCUUGGCUUUUAAUAUUUUCCUUACCAGUUUCUUUACUCACACAGAAUUCAUUUCCUAUGGAUAUCUGAAGAGGCUGGAUCGUUUUGCAGAAUCAGUUUAAUAUGACUUCUUGGCCUUCAGAAGGAGCACCUCUUCGGAAGCCUUUUGGCUGCUAUGGGAAGCUGGGAUCUCAUGUCUCCCCUACUUUGGCACAACAGAUACAACCAUGAUUGCUGAGAUUUGGGGCUUUAUAAACUUUAUGGAGAAGCUUUAGCUUGCCAGCAAUAAGCCAUAAUAACAAUGUCGGACUGUAUAAACUUAGGGUUGUUUGACUACAUAUCAAUUUAAUGUACUAAAAAUAUCCUUCCAGUUAAAGAAAAGAUAAUAAAAUAAAUCAAUACUCUUGCUUGGUAUGUAUGGUUUUGUGAGUGGACAUGAGUUUUAGGAGUCUAAACUUGCUUUGGGAAUGGGAAGUUGUGAACUCUAAUUUGAGUUCUGUUACUGUCUCAGUCUUCUAAAUUCAGCCCAUUCACAACUUGUAGCAUAUAACCACGAGGUGUUCCUUUAAAAGGUUACUUUUCCGUGAGCAUUGUAGACAUAAAUGAUCUAGUAAGAAUUGAACUAAAAGUGCUUAUAAAACAACUUGUAGCAGUCAAAGUAUUAAUCAUUAAAAGUUAGGUAUUAGAGCAGGAUUUAAAGAAGUGAAAUCAAACCAGUACAAUAAAUCACAUUCUUGAAAUUAUGCUUUUGAAUUGGAGAUUGAAGUAUGUGCUUUAUAGCCCAUGAUAAAACACUCUGCUACACAUGUUAUCUCUGUCUUAUUUGAGCUGGCCUAGAAAAACUGGAGAGAAGGAAAAAAUUGAGCCACUUGCUUAUUAAGCAGAUGUCCGAAGACAACAGACUUUCUUGAGAGAACCAAGAUUUUCUUGAGAGAACCAAGAUUAAGGGGGAGAAGUCCGUUCUAUGGAACAAACUUGUAAUCUUUUAUUCUUAAUCUUGUAGAGAAUGUCUGAAUGUAUCCAGAUCUCAUUUGCUGUUUGUAGAAUUGGCAUUUACACGGUAAGCAAUGGAUAUUUCUGCAAUACCAAAUGUCAUGAAAAUAUAAGUGGAGAACUGAGUACUGGAGAGUGCGUAGAGCUGUGGGAAUUGUCCUGCACUGCUGCUGAGGAGUGUACAUUUUUACAACUAUUUUGGAAAUAAUAGAGUUAGAAUGCCAGCAUAUUCUGUGACCCAAGUAAAUCUACUCCUAGGUGUGUACUUCAGAGAAAUUGUGUAAUUCUAAGAAGACCUGUGCAGGGAAAGUUCCUAACAGAGGUAUUCAUAAAAGCAGAAUAUUAGAAAUACUGAAAGUGUCCAUUGGUAAUAGAUGGGAUUGAUACAUUGUGGAAUUUAAUGCAUUUCGUAGGAUACCAUAUAGCAGCAAACACAUGCAAAUUAAAAAUAUAUGAAUUACAACUAUAUAACAUACCGUGGCUACAUUACAAUCAUAGUGUUGAAUAAAAAUAAGCUGCAGGAAAAUACAUGCAGUAUGAUCUUACUUCUACAGAGGUCAAAAACUGUUAAACCAGCACUAUGUUGUUUUGAGGUUACAUAUAUUGGUAGAUAAACUACAAAAAAAAAAAAAA
ensembl:lncRNA